UAGGGAAUCUUCGGCAAUGGACGAAAGUCUGACCGAGCAACGCCGCGUGAGUGAAGAAGGUUUUCGGAUCGUAAAACUCUGUUGUUAGAGAAGAACAAGGACGUUAGUAACUGAACGUCCCCUGACGGUAUCUAACCAGAAAGCCACGGCUAACUACGUGCCAGCAGCCGCGGUAAUACGUAGGUGGCAAGCGUUGUCCGGAUUUAUUGGGCGUAAAGCGAGCGCAGGCGGUUUCUUAAGUCUGAUGUGAAAGCCCCCGGCUCAACCGGGGAGGGUCAUUGGAAACUGGGAGACUUGAGUGCAGAAGAGGAGAGUGGAAUUCCGUGUGUAGCGGUGAAAUGCGUAGAUAUAUGGAGGAACACCAGUGGCGAGGGCGGCUCUCUGGUCUGUAACUGACGCUGAGGCUCGAAAGCGUGGGGAGCAAACAGG
rnacentral:rRNA from 1 species